GACGAACGCUGGCGGCGUGCCUAAUACAUGCAAGUCGAGCGCAGGAAGUCAUCCGAACCCUUCGGGGGGACGUUGACGGAAUGAGCGGCGGACGGGUGAGUAACACGUAAAGAACCUGCCCUCAGGUCUGGGAUAACCACGAGAAAUCGGGGCUAAUACCGGAUGGGUCAUCGGACCGCAUGGUCCGAGGAUGAAAGGCGCUUCGGCGUCGCCUGGGGAUGGCUUUGCGGUGCAUUAGCUAGUUGGUGGGGUAAUGGCCCACCAAGGCGACGAUGCAUAGCCGACCUGAGAGGGUGAUCGGCCACACUGGGACUGAGACACGGCCCAGACUCCUACGGGAGGCAGCGGUAGGGAAUCUUCCACAAUGGACGAAAGUCUGAUGGAGCAACGCCGCGUGAACGAUGAAGGCCCUCGGGUCGUAAAGUUCUGUUGUAAGGGAAGAACAAGUGCCGCAGGCAAAUGGCGGGCACCCUUGACGG
rnacentral:rRNA from 1 species